UACGUAGGGGGCAAGCGUUGUCCGGAAUCAUUGGGCGUAAAGCGCGCGUAGGCGGCCGGUAAGUCCGCUGUAAAAGUCCAGGGCUCAACCCUGGAAAGCCGGUGGAUACUGUCGGGCUAGAGUCCGGAAGAGGCGAGUGGAAUUCCUGGUGUAGGCGGUGGAAUGCGCAGAGUAUCAGGAGGAACACCGAUGGCGAAGGCAGCUCGCUGGGACGGUAGCUGACGCUGAGGCGCGAAAGCGUGGGGAGGCAAACAGG
rnacentral:rRNA from 1 species